CAGGUAAACACGAGCAGGUAAACAUAGGCAGGUAAACACAAACAGGUAAACACAAGCAGGUAAACACAAACAGGUAAACACAAACAGGUAAACACAAGCAGGUAAACACAAACAGGUAAACACAAACAGGUAAACACAAACAGGUAAACACGAGCAGGUAAACACAAACAGGUAAACACGAGCAGGUAAACACAAACAGGUAAACACGAGCAGGUCAACACAAACAGGUAAACACGAGCAGGUCAACACAAACAGGUAAACACAAACAGGUAAACACGAGCAGGUAAACACAAACAGGUAAACACGAGCAGGUCAACACAAACAGGUAAACACGAGCAGGUCAACACAAACAGGUAAACACAAGCAGGUAAACACAAACAGGUAAACACAAACAGGUAAACACAAGCAGGUCAACACAAACAGGUAAACACAAGCAGGUCAACACAAACAGGUCAACACAAACAGGUAAACACGAG